ACAAGCGUCAGUAGAAGCAGGCGGUAAUAAAGUGCAAUUAUUUCUUUCUUUACACGUUACUUAAUAAAUAUAAUUUUUUUUCUACUCGCUUGGUUGCAUUAUUAUUAUUCAUCGAUUCCAAAUACGUCCCAAACUUAUUAUACAGUGUUAAAAAAUAAUAUAACAUUCAAUUACAAAAAAAAAAGAAGAUUAGUAAUUACAUUUACUUUGUAACCGACAAAAGUUUCAAAAAUGACGAUCGGAAAGAACAAUAAAAUGCUUCAGCAUAUUAACUAUAGGGUUAGAAUCAUUCUUCAAGAUUCUCGAACCUUUAUAGGAACAUUUAAGGCAUUUGAUAAGCAUAUGAAUCUUAUUCUUGGAGAUUGUGAAGAAUUUCGUAAAAUUAAACCGAAAAAUACGAAACAACCUGAAACUGAACAAAAACGCGUAUUAGGUUUUGUACUAUUGAGAGGAGAAAAUAUUGUUUCGCUUACCGUAGAAGGUCCUCCACCUCCGGAAGAAGGAUUGCCUAGAGUUCCUAUACCAGGGGCUGCACCAGGUCCUGGUAUAGGACGACCUGCUGGUCGUGGCAUGCCAGCGAGUAUUGCAGGAGUACCUGCAGGUUUACAAGGACCAGUUAGAGGCAUUGGUGGUCCAUCGCAACAAAUAAUGACACCUGGUGGUAGAGGUCAAGUUUCAGCACCACCGCAAAUGCAUCCAGGUGGUCCUCCACGUAUGCCUGUUAGUGGACCACCACCUGGUAUGAUGGGACCACCACCAGGAAUGAUGGGAAUGCCACCUGGAAUGCCACCAAUGGGAAGAGGCGGCCCACCAAUGGGACCACCAGGAAUGCGUGGCCCACCACCUGCAUAUUGAUCUUAUGAUAUUUGAGGAUGGACAUUCCAGAGUGCUACAAAUGUUUCAGGAAGCACUGCUGCUAUAGUUUUAUGCAUGGCAUAUGGCAGGUUUUUACAACCAAAAUUUAAUAUAAGAUGUACUAUUAAGGUCACACACACACACACAUAAGAAUUCAUUUGAAUAUAGUUUAUGUGAAUAUGAAAUAUAUAUAUAUAUAUGGUUACUUUUAAAAACGUGUCUAUGUUCAUGUGUGCUCUUAGAUCAUUAUUUAUCAACUAUUAUAUAUAAAAUAAUCACAACCAAUUUGUUUUUCUAAUAAUAAUAAUAAUAAUAAUAAUAGUGACG